UAAUUACAUUAGAUGUAUGUUUCAUUAUAAUACUUUAUUCUGAUUGGCUAACUGCACAUCACGUGUUAUUCCGUAAGCAGUUGCAGUGCUCAAUACAACUUUUCAUUCAUGAUAACACGUGGUCCAACAAUAAAGUGCACAGGUGAAUUAAAUAAAAAAAAUAUAUAAAAUUCGUGUUUUCAUGAUCAUAGCUAAAAAAUGUAA
rnacentral:lncRNA from 1 species